rnacentral:lncRNA from 1 species
AUGAGGAAGCGAGGCCCGGACUUUGGAGAAUCCGAAGCUGAGCAGCCUGGGUCCUCCAGGCUGAGCAGUCUCCUCUCAAAACUGAUGAAAGCAGAAUGGGUUUCACUUUGCCACAUGCCUUUCAAUCUUCCAAGGAAGGAUGGAAUAAAGGAGGGACUGACCUAUCUUUGCAUCAUACGUAUCAGCGAUGCCGAUAUUCAAAAGAUACAGAAAGCAGUGGGAGAAGAGGAAAGAUGAGGAGUGGGGAGUGUGGGGAGUGUUGGCACACAUGCACAAGCAUGUACAUGCACGCCCAUGUCUGCACACGUGCGUGCACACGCACACGCACACACGCUCCCGACCAUUACCCUGCCGUCACCUCAGGAGACCACGCUGCCAGGCAGGGGAAAACAGGGAAAAUGAAACCCUGCAAUGAAGCAGAAAGGCCAGGCUGGGCCCCUGGGCUUUGUGCACAGUGUGCUGCUCGGGGCGAAGACUUUAAGGGUGAGAUCGAGGCAAACCACUCACCGGACGCAGACCCCUUUCAGGAGCGGGGCUCUCUUCCCGGCCGGUGUCCGUGCCUCGGACCUGCAAGCUCAGCGCGCCUCUCUGUCGGUUAACCGGCUUCCGCCCGCUCGGAGCGGGCAGCAACGUCUCGCUGGUCUCCAGAACCCUGCGCUGGGCAGACCGUGUGCUGGCUCCCGAGGUCCCGGGGACACCUGAGAGGAGACUCCGGGCACCCGCAGGCGGGAACACGAAAGGCAAACCCUCCAGAAAGGCAUUCUGUCCUGGUCGUGCCCACAGGUCUUGUCUGAGCCUCUGCUCGAAAGGAGCGCAGGCAGGGUUGGUGGGUCCCGGGCCACUGGCCUCAGCGCGCUUGCGUCGGGGGGACCCUUCUCUCUCUGUCUUCACAGACCUACUUCGUUCAGGUCUCUGCCGAGCGUCGCCUCCUCAGGAGCCCUUCCUGACCCUCCGUCUCCAGGAUCUCCCCUCCCCUUACCUUAUGUAAAAAUGUUGAAAAACUAUCUCCAUAAUUGACAACGUCCUCAGCAUCGGAACACAAGCGUCGCGAUGUCGCGGCUUCUGCUUGUUUUGCUCCUGGAUGGGUCCCCAGAACUCGCGGCGGCAAUGACAUUUGGUGCAUCCGGGAUGGCAGAUAAUUAUUCCGUGUUGUAACUUACACUUUCUGCAUCUAAUUCUCAAGACAAAGUAGGGUAUGGGGGGCACUAACGCCUUGUUAUAGAGGAGAGGAAUUGGAGGCUCAGUGCCGUUAAGUCACCUGCUCAAGUCAGCUGCUUAAGUCAUCAUCAGUCACACAGCUGAUACUCAGGUGAGCGGAUAAAAGUGGUCGGAUUAAAUGCCCAAAUUCCCUAGAGAAGAAGGCCUUCUCCUGAAGGCGAUCUGGUUUCUGGAGUGGGGGUAGAUAGAGUGAUGG